UACGGGGGGAGCAAGCGUUGUUCGGAUUUAUUGGGCGUAAAGGGCUCGUAGGCGGCUCAGUAAGUCGGGUGUGAAACCUCCAGGCUCAACCUGGAGACGCCACUCGAUACUGCUGUGGCUAGAGUCCGGUAGGGGAGCAUGGAAUUCCUGGUGUAGCGGUGAAAUGCGCAGAUAUCAGGAGGAACACCAGUGGCGAAGGCGGUGCUCUGGGCCGGAACUGACGCUGAUGAGCGAAAGCGUGGGGAGCAAACAGG
rnacentral:rRNA from 1 species